GGUAUGAUCUGCCCUUGGUGAUGUCCUCUUGUUAUGUAAUAAAAUACUAUCUUGGAAAAUUUUUACUGGUCAUGUCAGUUCCGUGGCCAGACAGUCACUGGAGUUCUCCAAGGUAAUGUAUAUGCUUGCCAAAAGGCUUGGGAGAGCUGGUAAAUUUGGGAUCAUGGCUUAAUGAACUGCUGUGCUAAUUUGUGUGGUUCUGUCCUGUCUCUGACCCUCUCUGCCUGCAGCUCCUUUGGAUGCUGUGAAACACUUUUUGCAGCAGGGUCAGUGAAUGCCCCAACAGCUGAUGCAGUUACACAAAGCAGAUGGGUUCUGUCGAAGCACAUGUGAGACAGCUGCAUGCAGCUCAUGUAAAUGCAGAUGUCUGCAUGUGGUGGUCUUUGCAGGACAUCUCUGAAGUACCUUACUGAGAUGCUAAUGGUAACUCUGAUGUUGAAAUGUGGGCUCAAAAGAAACCUUAAUGAAUGGAAGAGUUAUUUUACAUGCUGUUGCUUUUGCCCAAACAGUACACUGUUUUACUGCAUAAUUCACCUCCUGUUCCACAAAUAUGUGUGGUCACACGAAACCUUUCUUUACUGGCAUUUUCCUUCUCACAGGAGAAGUCAUCUCGCUUGUCUGCAGCGUUGCUUGGUGAGGACUGUGAGAUCAGCCCAGAGCAGCUGUACGAGCUGCUACAGUAUGCAGCCCUGGGGAAACGCCACAAUGCAGCCCAGCCCAGCUGGUGCCAUGUUUAUCACCAAAGCCGUCUGGCUGGGGUUGUGGUUAUUGUUCUGCAUGAAAUGAGCCAGCUCCACUUCUACAAAUUCUAUUUACAGUUCAAACACCUCCGAAAAGUGUUCCAGCAUAGAUUCACGUUACCACCCCCUUCAGCUAACUUCCUAACCAGUCUGUGUGGCGAAGGAGCGAACCCGAAUCCUCAAGGCACUGCACAAGGCUUGAUUUCCACUGGUGUUGAAUGUGUCCCUGAAAGCUCAGGCUUGCAAUGUGAUCCCAUCAUCCGGAAAUAUGGCAGAGAAAAACGAGGCCUCACGAGCUAUACUCUAACUUUGGAAGAGCUGAAAAAGAACGAUUAUCCCAUGAGAGAUUCACCAGGAUGUAAGGGUUAUAUGUACACAGAGUGCGAUCUUCAGAGGACAGACAGCAGCCCCCUCUUCGGUCUGGAUUGUGAAAUGUGCCUGACUGCAAGAGGGAAUGAAGUCACUCGUGUCUCUUUGGUGGAUGCAGAGGGGCAGUGCCUUAUGAAUGAGCUAGUCAAACCAGAAAGUGUGAUAGUGAACUACUGCACCAGAUACUCGGGAGUCACAAGGAAAAUGCUUCUUCCAGUGAAAACAAGAUUGCCAGACAUACAAACCAGACUGAAAAAGAUACUUCCCCAUGAUGCAGUAUUGGUGGGUCAUUCUCUAAAUGCUGAUCUUCAGGCUUUGCAAAUGAUCCAUCCCAGUGUUAUUGAUACUUCAUUACUUUUUGCCAGAAAUGAAGGCCGAAGAUUUAAGCUAAAAUUUCUAGCCAAAGCUGUUUUAGGGAAGGAGAUCCAGUGCCAACAGAGGCUUGGUCACGAUCCUGCAGAAGAUGCUAGAGCUGCAUUGGAAUUGGCUCAGUUCUUUAUUAAGAAAGGACCAGCAAAGGUAGCAGAACUAAACUUGGAAAUGUUGCUGGCAGCUGAAAGGCAGACUGAAGUCUCACCAAACAAAUCUGUGAUGCAGCCACAGCAGUGUGGGGUCCAGAAGCAGCUGAAUGAUCCUCCACACUUAUCCAAAGCACGUUUUCUGGCCUGCUUGCAGGGGAUGGGCCAGAAGCCCCUCCUUUUGGGUAGACAGGAACUGGACUCUUCUGGCCUUUGUCGGAGUGACCUCAGCACUUCCAACAAACAGAUUCUUCAGAGAGCCUUGGAAGAUGUUCCCCUCUCCACAUUCAGUAUAAUUCAGUUCAGUUUGGAUCCAGAGUAUGUUGCAUCUCACCGUCUUGCUGGAUUUUGUGAAAAGGUGAGAAACAAGCUGACUGACAUGCUGACAAUUUACGCAGGUCCUUUUGAAGAAGACUUUUGCCUGAAGUCUGUGAAAAAAGAAUUUGGAAGGUGUGGGCCGAUCAGAUCCCUCACAGUGGUGACUGAAACGUACCAGCCAUAUGUCUGUAUCCAGUACAGCGUGCUGGAAGCUGCCCAGCUUGCUGUGGAAAGCCUAAAUGGAGCUGAGGUAGCAGGAUCGUGCAUUAAGGUUCAGAGACCCAUCACUGCUGCUACACUGGACUGUGAUGUUCUGAUAAGGGAACUGGAACUGGAUAUAGAAAACGAAGGUGUGAUUUAUGUGGCAGGAAUAAAGAAGUCAUUAACAGAGACAGAUUUGCAAGAAGAAUUCAGUCUGUUGAAAGACCUGGAAACUCUUUUCCUGCCAAAGGAUCUCCAGAGUGGAAAGCACAGCACCUGCUGUUUUCUCAAAUUCCAGAAAUCGCGAAGUGCGGCAGAUGCCCUGGAAGCUAUAAAUGGCUGGGCUGUGAGGGGCAGCACGCUCAGAAGUAGGCACGCUCUUGCUUCAGGUCACCUCUGGAGAUGGAUUUGGCAAAUGAAUCACAGCAGUGAAAAGCAAAGAGGAAACAGUUUAAGUGAGAAGAUGGCACCGCUGUCUGACUCUGAGCAGGAUGUAAAGAAAAAGGUGAAGAAGUUAGACCACCAUAUAAAAAAGCUUUAUAGAAGUCUGCAGGAUAACACCUUGUGCGUUGUUCUCUUUCCUGGAAUGAACAGAUCAUGGCUUUACACUUGGCCACAUCCUCGAAAAGAUAUCCAGCAUGAAACGGAAUUUACUGCAGCCUUUUCAAGCAUUACAACUCCGCAGCACUCGUGAUGGUGCCGGCUGGAGGAGGAAGUGUGGUUCUGCUCCACGACAAUACAUUCAUCAUUUCCUGCGGCGAGAAAACUGGAGAAAACUGGAGAAAACAGACGUCGUGUCUGCUGGGCGAUGUGGCCACGCCAGGGCUGAGCUCUACGACAAGUGUCUGUGCUGCAAGCUGCAGAUCUCCAGGCUGGCUGUCAGUGCUCCCUCCCCCUCCAUACAGCUGCAGCAACGUGGGCUCACUUUGUGCCCCAGGUCGGCUGGGAUGGAGCCCAGCAGUGCAGGGUGAGAACCUCAUCCUGCAGUCCAUCCAUCUCUCUUGCAACUCCAGAUAAUGGACAACUCGCAGCAUGAGGCCUUCCCACCACUCCCGGUGGCCCAUUUCCUUUCUGAGGGCCCAUUUCAACUUACUGAUAAGAAAGAAUGCAUAUUUUUAAGAUAACUAAACUUGACAAAAGAGCCACUCCCGAGGCACAGGGACAGCUCCAUCAGCAACAUUCAAGCGUGCUGCCCCAGCCACAGCCAACCCAAAGCCCAAGGAGAAUCUGCAAGCAAGAAGCAAGAGCACUGCAGACAAAUGUGUUUUUUCUUCAUGUAGAAUGCAUGUCAUCUAGAAAGAGAUUUUAUCUUCAGGAUGCAAUUAUGCAAAGAUAGAAGCUUUCUAAGAACAGAAAAGGAGAACCUCCCAGCAUCUCCAGCAUGCUUGAGCACUCUCAGCUCUGCUUUAAGCAUAAGGCGUUCAUCCUGAGCAGACACCGAGCGCAGGGAGGAAGCAGCAGCUGUGCAGCCCUUUCACAGCCUUCACUUUUUGUUGCACAGCUCAAGAUGGAACAAAGUACGGAACAUGUAAGAAAUACACUCAUAGCACUGCAUCAGGUGGGUUCCUGAUGCUUUUCAAGAGCAAAUGAAAGGGCCAGACGGUCCCUUCUUGGGGAGCAGCUGCUCCAUCUCCCAUUCAUUGUGGCCUGAAGUGGAAAGACAAGGUGCGAUGCUGAAAGGCCCUGAGCUAGUCGGGAGCAGCUCCACUCACCGCUGCGCUCUGGAACUCACAUGUCCCUUACCAGCUUGGCUUUGCUCCAUUCCAAAGGGUCGACUGCAUGCAGACCAAAAGCAGGAUACCAAAAAGUAUGGUAAAUAGGUAACACUUAACAUGGGUCAAUUAAAAAGUGUACAUUACUUAUCCAGGCAUCAUAGCCUGGGAGAGGAUGAUCAACUUGAACUACUCAAGUCUGACAAGAGGUAGAGAUACCUACGUACUUCAUGGUGAAGGAAUUAUGGCCUUCCUUCUUACAAUCUCAUGUAUUUCACUUUAACUGAAGAUAUAAACCAAAGAUACAAUCUUUGAUAAUCCAGAGAAAAAAAAUUAACACCAGUGUCUCUACACACAACAGAAAUAAGCACACUUAUCUUUUACUACUUGUUUGA